rnacentral:rRNA from 1 species
CGGGUGCGGCGCCGGUCUAAGUUCCUUGGAACAGGACGUCAUAGAGGGUGAGAAUCCCGUUCAUGACCGGCGACCUAGCCCGUGUGAAGCUCCUUCGACGAGUCGAGUUGUUUGGGAAUGCAGCUCUAGAUGGGUGGUAAAUUUCAUCUAAAGCUAAAUACCGGCCAGAGACCGAUAGCGCACAAGUAGAGUGAUCGAAAGAUGAAAAGCACUUUGGAAAGAGAGUUAAAAAGUACGUGAAAUUGUUGAAAGGGAAGCGCUUGCGACCAGACUUGCUCGCGGGUGAUCAGCCGCCCUUCUGGGCGGUGCACUCGCCCGCGAUCAGGCCAGCAUCGGUUGGGCGGUCGGAUAAAGGCCCCGGGAAUGUAGCUCCCUCCGGGGAGUGUUAUAGCCUGGGGUGCAAUGUGGCCAGCCUGGACCGAGGACCGCGCUUCGGCUAGGAUGCUGGCGUAAUGGUUGUAAGCGACCCGUCUUGAAACACGGACCAAGGAGUCUAACAUCUAUGCGAGUGUUUGGGUGUCAAACCCAUGCGCGCAAUGAAAGUGAACGGAGGUGGGAACCCUCAAAGGGUGCACCAUCGACCGAUCCUGAUGUCUUCGGAUGGAUUUGAGUAAGAGCAUAGCUGUUGGGACCCGAAAGAUGGUGAACUAUGCCUGAAUAGGGUGAAGCCAGAGGAAACUCUGGUGGAGGCUCGCAGCGGUUCUGACGUGCAAAUCGAUCGUCAAAUUUGGGUAUAGGGGCGAAAGACUAAUCGAACCAUACUAGUAGCUGG